rnacentral:rRNA from 1 species
AUGAACGACUACGCACCGGCGGACAGCUCCAUUGACCGCAGCGCUGACGAGACGCUCCCCAGCUGCCGCUUCACGGGCCUCGCCGACGAGUACACGCGUGUGAUAACCAGUGUGGAGAAGUGUAGGGACCGGCUGUUGUCGCCGACUCUGUACCCCAUGGUGUUGGCCGACCGGAACAAAGCAGUGCUAGCGAACAUGCUUGGCAAACUGUUAGGCAUAUGA